rnacentral:rRNA from 1 species
AAAUUGAAGAGUUUGAUCAUGGCUCAGAUUGAACGCUGGCGGCAGGCCUAACACAUGCAAGUCGAACGGUAACAGGAAGCAGCUUGCUGCUUUGCUGACGAGUGGCGGACGGGUGAGUAAUGUCUGGGAAACUGCCCGAUGGAGGGGGAUAACUACUGGAAACGGUAGCUAAUACCGCAUAACGUCGCAAGACCAAAGAGGGGGACCUUCGGGCCUCUUGCCAU